UACGUAGGGGGGCUAGCGUUGUCCGGAUUUAUUGGGCGUAAAGAGCUCGUAGGCGGCUUGUCGCGUCGUCCGUGAAAACCCACAGCUCAACUGUGGGCUUGCGGUCGAUACGGGCAGGCUAGAGUUCGGUAGGGGAGACUGGAAUUCCUGGUGUAGCGGUGAAAUGCGCAGAUAUCAGGAGGAACACCGGUGGCGAAGGCGGGUCUCUGGGCCGAUAUUGACGCUGAGGAGCGAAAGCGUGGGGAGCGAACAGG
rnacentral:rRNA from 1 species